rnacentral:rRNA from 1 species
GAUGAACGCUAGCGGCAGGCCUAAUACAUGCAAGUCGAACGGUGUCUUCGGACAUAGUGGCGCACGGGUGCGUAACACGUAUGCAACCUACCUUACAUUGGGGGAUAGCCUUUCGAAAGGGAGAUUAAUACCGCAUAAGACAGUAGCUGGGCAUCCAACAGCUGUUAAAGAUUUAUCGAUGUAAGCUGGGCAUGCGUCCAAUUAGCCAGUUGGUGAGGUAACGGCUCACCAAGGCAAUGAUUGGUAGGGGAACUGAGAGGUCAAUCCCCCACACUGGCACUGAGAUACGGGCCAGACUCCUACGGGAGGCAGCAGUAGGGAAUAUUGGGCAAUGGACGCAAGUCUGACCCAGCCAUGCCGCGUGCAGGAUGAAGGCGUUAUGCGUUGUAAACUGCUUUUAUACAGGAAGAAACGACUCUUGCGAGAGGCAUUGACGGUACUGUAUGAAUAAGCACCGGCUAACUCCGUGCCAGCCGCCGCGGUAACAC